rnacentral:lncRNA from 1 species
AAAUUUAAAGUUUGAAAUUUAGAAUUUAAAAUUUGAGAUUUUAAAUUUCAAAUUUUAAUUUCAAAUUUUAAAAUUGCAAAGUUAAAAUUUUAAAUUUAAAAAUUUAAAAAAUAUAAUAAGUGGGUAACAUCAUUAUUUUUUAUUUAUAAAAAUCCACUGUCAUUUUUAUUCCAUCUUACCUAAUCAAACGCAAUUUUUUUUAUUUCCAGGAAUAACCCAAUUUUCAUCCAAACGCAAAAUUGAUCUAAUCCUUGCUUAUACCUCAAUUUAUACCUAUCCUUGGAAUAGCCACUUUUUACUUAUCCCCGAACCAAACGAUACCCUAAAGAAUGCUACAUUCAGCCGCUUGGAAAGGAUUGAAGUUUGGAUCUUUAGGAAUGAAUUGUUUCAGUUAGAUUAUUGCGUCCCGAAAGACAGUGAUUUGGGCCAAUUAUCUGAUUUAUGAUUAAAAUUUACAAAGAAACUUGCCAACAGAAAAUACCAAACCUACUUAACUUACUCUCGAACUAAAACUAUCGGAAAUUUUUUUUUUUUUUGAGAGAUAGGUAGCACGCUACCUGCUUCGUUUAUUUCAUUUAGAAAUAAACUUAGAUGGAAAUGUGAAUCAACUAGGAUUCAAACUUGGGUCUCGGGUACCAACCACCAAGCUCUUUGCCACUUGCUCUAGCGACGAUCUGUCUAUCGAAAAUUAUUAAAUGCUAAAACUAUCUAUCUACUCUAUUUCUAGAUUUAUUAAGUU